AUGAUCAUAAGUCACUUUUUUCAGUUCUGUUGUAACUUUGAAAGGUUAUAAAUGAACUGUUGUAAAUCGAGGACUAACUGUAUAAAUUUAUCCAUUUAAAGACAGUAUCACUUAUCAGCCAAUUAUCCCUGAUGAUCUCUGAAGAAAGAUGAUCACCAACCUAAACUGUUGAAAUAUGCAAAUGCACAAUUAAUCACUGAAUUACAAAUAUAGAGAAAAUGGCUUCCAAAGAC